GGAAGUAAAAGCCGUAACAAGGGAUCCGUAGGUGAACCUGCGGAUGGAUCAUUACAAAGUAUUGCAUUCGAUGCGUAAUACUCCAACCACGUGUGCACUGUUGCGUUGCUGUGCGUGUGUGUGGCCUUGUGCUGCUUGCUCGGGCGACGCGUUUCUUUCACCAUCAACUGAACACUGUAGAUAAAUAAAUAAAUAAAUAAAACUUUUAGCAACGGAUCUCUAGGUUCUC
rnacentral:misc_RNA from 1 species